UGUCUCUGUUACAGGACGUCUGGUGAUACUGUACAUAUCUGUUGGUGUGGUUUGUGGAGCUGCAGUUAUCAUAACAAUGCUUAUUUGGAGAAGCAGGAUGAAAAAGAGAAAAAACACACCUGAUACUCAGAUUAAUCAUUCCAGGCCUGAUAAUCAAAUAUGUACAGCAUCUGAUGUUGAGUCGACUGAACCUUUAUAUGAGAAUGUUACGAUGAAUCAUUUCAGAUCUUGUGAUAUUGAGAUGACUGAACCUGUGUAUGAGAAUACAAUGCAUGACAAGCUGUAGUGUUUGGGAAACUGCCUUUUUCGUCUCUCUGUGGGUGGAGCCCUGAAUGAUUGACAGCAGUGUCUUGAUUUACAGAAAUGUAUUUACCAAUUGGUUUAAUCCAGAGAUACUUGCAGAUGAUGAGCCUUAAAUAUGCUGUAAUUUUAUUUGAGAUAAAGCAUGAAAAUACCUUAUGAAUUGGUAUAAAAACAGUCUUCAUUCACAAGAAACAAAAAGUGCAUCUAAAAACUAAUAUAAUCAUGUAAAACCUCACUGUAUGCAACGUGUUAUAUAUUCUGCUUAUUCAGUUUAUUAAAAGAUUGUAUAUUGCCCUUUUAAUAAAGUGUAUUGUACUAUUUUGGAUGCAGCCGGUGUAUCGUUUUACAGAGCAAUUAGUUCAGCUAAUUCAAUUCAGAAAACUUCCUUUUUCACAUCAUUAGUCUGAUUAUAAUAAAUCAAUGAAACAAUCCAGCUCUCAGUGCCCUCUACAGAAAAAACUUCAGCUACACUACUCUUGGGUCACACAAA